UACGAAGGGAGCUAGCGUUACUCGGAAUCACUGGGCGUAAAGCGUAUGUAGGCGGAACUACAAGUUAGGGGUGAAAUCCCGGGGCUCAACCCCGGAAUUGCCUUUAAAACUGUAGUUCUUGAGUAUGACAGAGGAUGGUGGAAUUUCUAGUGUAGAGGUGAAAUUCGUAGAUAUUAGAAAGAACACCGGUGGCGAAGGCGACCAUCUGGGUCAUUACUGACGCUGAGAUACGAAAGCGUGGGGAGCAAACAGG
rnacentral:rRNA from 1 species